rnacentral:rRNA from 1 species
UACAGAGGGGGCAAGCGUUAUUCGGAAUUAUUGGGCGUAAAGGGCGCGUAGGCGGCUUGGCAAGUGGAAGGUGAAAUCCCUCGGCUUAACCGAGGAACUGCCCUCCAAACUGCUUCGCUUGAGACCGGGAGAGGUGAGUGGAAUUCCCAGUGUAGCGGUGAAAUGCGUAGAUAUUGGGAGGAACACCAGUGGCGAAGGCGGCUACCUGGACCGGUUCUGACGCUGAUGCGCGAAAGCGUGGGGAGCAAACGGG